rnacentral:rRNA from 1 species
GGUUAAAAAGCUCGUAGUUGGAUCUCGGCAAGUAGAGGGCGGUAUGCUUCGUAGCAUUACUGCCCUAUUACUUGUAGUUUUGCCAGAGGUUCCUGGGUGCUCUUAAUCGAGUGUCUAGGGAUGCUGGCAGGUUUACUUUGAAAAAAUUAGAGUGCUCAAAGCAGGCUAUUACGCUUGAAUAUUCGUGCAUGGAAUAAUAGAAUAGGAAGUUGUUUCUAUUUUGUUGGUUUUCGGAAAUCGACUUAAUGAUUAAUAGGGACAGUCGGGGGCAUUUGUAUUCAAACGACAGAGGUGAAAUUCUUGGACCGUUUGAAGACAAACCACUGCGAAAGCAUUUGCCAAGAAUGUUUUCAUUAAUCAAGAACGAAAGUUAGAGGUUCGAAGGCGAUUAGAUACCGCCCUAGUUCUAACCAUAAACGAUGCCAGCUAGCGACCUGAGGACGUUUUUUUUGUAGACUCCUCAGGAAGCUUCCGGGAAACCAAAGCGUGUGGGUUCCGGGGGAAGUAUGGUUGCAAAGCUGAAACUUAAAGGAAUUGACGGAAGGGCACCACCAGGAGUGGAGCCUGCGGCUUAAUUUGACUCAACACGGGAAAUCUCACCAGGCCCGGACACUGGAAGGAUUGACAGAUUGAGAGCUCUUUCUCGAUUCGGU